CGGGCAGCCAUGGAAGAGCUUGCUCUUCUGAUGGCGAGUGGCGAACGGGUGAGUAAAGCAUCGGAACGUACCGUGUAGUGGGGAUAACGUAGCGAAAGUUUACGCUAAUACCGCAUACGAUCUACGGAUGAAAGCAGGGGACCGCAAGGCCUUUGCGCGAACGGAGCGGCCGAUGGCAGAUUAGGUAGUUGGUGGGAUAAAAAGCUUUACCAAGCCGACGAUCUGUAGCUGGUCUGAGAGGACGACCAGCCACACUGGAACUGAGACACGGUCCAGACUCCUACGGGAGGCAGCAGUGGGGAAUUUUGGACAAUGGGGGCAACCCUGAUCCAGCAAUGCCGCGUGAGUGAAGAAGGCCUUCGGGUUGUAAAGCUCUUUUGUCAGGGAAGAAACGGUGGGGGCUAAUAUCCUCUGCUAAUGACGGUACCUGAAGAAUAAGCACCGGCUAACUACGUG
rnacentral:rRNA from 1 species